rnacentral:rRNA from 1 species
GAGUAAUGUCUGGGAAACUGCCUGAUGGAGGGGGAUAACUACUGGAAACGGUAGCUAAUACCGCAUAACGUCGCAAGACCAAAGAGGGGGACCUUCGGGCCUCUUGCCAUCGGAUGUGCCCAGAUGGGAUUAGCUAGUAGGUGGGGUAACGGCUCACCUAGGCGACGAUCCCUAGCUGGUCUGAGAGGAUGACCAGCCACACUGGAACUGAGACACGGUCCAGACUCCUACGGGAGGCAGCAGUGGGGAAUAUUGCACAAUGGGCGCAAGCCUGAUGC